UGUUGGGGAAAAACAAGGCCGAGGCCAUUCAAUCGCAUUCCAGGCAAGACGAUUUCCGGUGUAAGACUUGCGACUUGGUCCUUCGUCUCUCCGCGACUUCCACCUCCACUCUCUACUCUCCACCAUAGCCCUCGCCUCCACCGCCGUUCACCUUCUGAGGCUUGUUCCCUCCAUCCCCAUCCGUCACAACUCUGAUCUAUCCCCACCACUGCCUGUAACUCGAGCCCCACCUGCUUCCCUCCACUUUGCUUCCCCGUCGCCUCCUUCCUCUUUGCCAUAGCCAUGCGUCCAUUCCAUCACACCUACUGCCUCUCCCUCUUUCAAUCCCUCAACCACAAUCUUGCCGGCGAACAAAGUGAAGCUGCUGGUCUUGGUUCUUGCCCUUGCUUCCCUCCAUUGAUUUAAAGCUUCGUCGUUUCCCCCUUCUCUCGGCUUCCUCGUUGGUCAGCCACUGUCUAGUUCACAGAACCAUGGCUUCUCCUUCUCCGAGCUACCUGCUCUGCCCUCUACGCUCUUGAUCAUCUCAUGUACCUCGAUUUCGAUAUCUCCUUGUGUCAUCUUUGUUGGUCACUCUGUAGCUCUUCGAGUUAUGUUACAUUGCUAAACCAUUGUCCUGUAUUUUUGGGUAGUUCAUAAAUUUGAUAAAAGCCUCUGCAAUUCUGAUUUUGCUGCUGGAACUGAUUUCAAAUGGGGAGACUUGACGUUAUUCAAAGAGAUCAAUGUGAAUACACAUUAGAUGAUGAAGUUGAAAAGGUGAAGACUAUUAUCAUGAAACCUGAUCCUGACAAAGAAGAUGAUGCAGUGCUGAAAAAACUCUUUCCUGUUUUUAUCCCGACUUGCCUUUCAAGGAAGGGCUGAAGAAAGAAAAUGAAAAGCCUAAAGUAGAGCUACAAAGAUCACAAGCAAAUUGGGAAACAAAUCAAUGUUAGUUUAUUCAACUUUUAUUAGAUGUAACACAAGUUGCAGCUUGUUUCUCUUCCAGAAAAAUCUUCACCUGAAAAAAGUCAUAAAAUUGUAGAGAAAACUUACAAAGUAUCACAGAAGAAGCUUUCUCUUUCUUUAAGAAGAUGAGAGACUUUGGCUUUACUCGGAGAAUGUUCAAUAGGAGAUUGUGGACAUUCGAAUCUUGCCAGAUGUUGUCAAUCGAAGCGCUAGUGAUUUGAAUGCAAAGGAAGAUAUAACUAGCUUAUGAAUAGGUGUUUGGUUUGAGUCUGUAAAAUCUUAGGCGAUUAUUAGCUUUUGUUACUUUUGUUUUCCUUUUUGUGGACUUUAGUAGUCAACAUAUCAAUAUUGUCAAUAAUUACAUGUUACUCAAUAUGUUUUCAUGAAAAUAAAGGACAUAUGAUCCCUCGUUGUCAAUA